rnacentral:misc_RNA from 1 species
GCGCCCGAGUGCCCUCACACACAUCCCUCUCACCCCUAUGUGCACCACCGCGUGGGUCCCCCUUUGGCUUGUUCGGAGGGGGGCUUACGUUUUCACACAAACUUUGUAUGCAGUGUAGAAUGUAUUUUUUGUUUUUGCGAUCACGCAAUCAAUACAACUUUCAACAACGGAUCUCUUGGCUCUCGCAUCGAUGAAGAACGCAGCGAAAUGCGAUACGUAAUGUGAAUUGCAGAAUUCAGUGAAUCAUCGAAUCUUUGAACGCACCUUGCGCCCCUUGGCAUUCCGAGGGGCACACCCGUUUGAGUGUCGUGAAAUUCUCAAAAACCUUUUUCUUUUUGGGAAAGGGUUUUUGGACUUGGAGGCUUUUUGCUGGCUUCACCUUGAAGUGAGCUCCUCCUAAAUGAAUCAGUGGGGUCCGCUUUGCCGAUCCUUGACGUGAUAAGAUGUUUCUGCGUCUUUGGGUUUGGCACUGUCACCUGCUUCUAACUGUCUCAUUGACAAUGAUGGUGCUCCGGUCACCACCGCUCUUAUCGGUGGGAGGCUUGACCCACAAAAACAAAACCUUGACCUCAAAUCGGGUGAGACUACCCGCUGAACUUAAGCAUA